rnacentral:tRNA from 1 species
GACCUAUUAGCUUAGUUGGUUAGAGCAUCGUGCUAAUAACACGAAAGUCACCUGUUCGAUUCCGUAAGUCC